rnacentral:rRNA from 1 species
AGGAAUUGGCGGGGGAGCACCACAACGGGUGGAGCUUGUGGUUUAAUUGGAUUCAACGCCGGAAAUCUUACCGGGACCGACAGCAACAUGAAGGCCAGGCUGAAGACUUUGCCGGAUUAGCUGAGAGGUGGUGCAUGGCCGUCGUCAGUUCGUACUGUGAAGCAUCCUGUUAAGUCAGGCAACGAGCGAGACCCACGCCCACAGUUGCCAGCGUACUCUCCGGAGUGACGGGUACACUGUGGGGACCGCCGCUGCUAAAGCGGAGGAAGGAAUGGGCAACGGUAGGUCAGUAUGCCCCGAAUAUCCCGGGCUACACGCGAGCUACAAUGGUUGGUACAAUGGGUAUCUACCCUGAAAGGGGAUGGAAAUCUCCUAAAGCCAAUAUUAGUUUGGAUUGAGGGCUGCAACUCGCCCUCAUGAAGCUGGAAUCGGUAGUAAUCGCGUUUCAACAGAACGCGGUGAAUACGUCCCUGCUCCUUGUACACACCGCCCGUC